UUACUCGUGAUGGUUGAUAGCUUAGCUAAAUUAAGUAUGGAUGUUGGGGAUAAGGAUCUUGUGUACAGUUUGUUACUUGUCUUCUCUGGAAUGUUGAUGGAUGAAAAAGGCAAAGAGUGCAUUCUGGACAACAUCCAAAUCACAAUCAGCGUUCUUAGUGAACUUGUUUCCUAUCCUCACAUGAUGUGACCCUACUGCUAUUUUUAUUAAUCCAUCCAUACUAAUUGUAUUCCUGUUACAUGUGCGAAUUAGUAUGUCAGUUUAACAACCUUUUCCCCUUAGGUUGUGCGGGAGACAACAUUACAAUGUUUAGUAGCCUUUUCGACAUUUCCUCACCCAAAGAUUUAUCCUGUGCGGCGAAAGGUUGUGCAGGCAGCAAUCAGAGCUCUCGACGAUAAGAAACGGGUUGUUCGUCAAGUGGUUGUCCGAUGCCGGCACACAUGGUACGGACAUU